CCUACGAGAGGCUGCAGUGAGGAAUAUUGGUCAAUGGACGAGAGUCUGAACCAGCCAAGUAGCGUGAAGGAUGACUGCCCUAUGGGUUGUAAACUGCUUUUAUAUGGGAAUAAAAUGUUCCACGUGUGGGAUUUUGUAUGUACCAUAUGAAUAAGGAUAGGCGAACUCCGUGCCAGCAGCCGCGGUAAUACGGAGGAUCCGAGCGUAAUCCGGAUUUAUUGGGUUUAAAGGGAGCGUAGGUGGAUUGUUAAGUCAGUUGUUAAAGUUUGCGGCUCAACCGUACAAUUGCAGUUGAAACUGGCAGUCUUUAGUACAGUAUAUGUGGGCGGAAUUCGUGGUGUAGCGGUGAAAUGCUUAGAUAUCACGAAGAACUCCGAGUGCGAAGGCAGCUCACUGGACUGCAACUGACACUGAGGCUCGAAAGUGUGGGUAUCAAACAGGAUUAGAUACCCUAGUAGUC
rnacentral:rRNA from 1 species